GAUGAACGCUGGCGGCGUGCCUAAUACAUGCAAGUCGAGCGAACGGACGAGAAGCUUGCUUCUCUGAUGUUAGCGGCGGACGGGUGAGUAACACGUGUAUAACCUACCUAUAAGACUGGUAUAACUUCGGGAAACCGGAGCUAAUACCGGAUAAUAUUUUGAACCGCAGUGUUCAAAAGUGAGAGACGGUCUUGCUGUCACUUAUAGAUGGAUCUGCGCUGCAUUAGCUAGUUGUUAAGGUAACGGCUUACCAAGGCAACGAUGCAUAGCCGACCUGAGAGGGUGAUCGGCCACACUGGAACUGAGACACGGUCCAGACUCCUACGGGAGGCAGCAGUAGGGAAUCUUCCGCAAUGGGCGAAAGCCUGACGGAGCAACGCCGCGUGAGUGAUGAAGGUCUUCGGAUCGUAAAACUCUGUUAUUAGGGAAGAACAUAUGUGUAAGGAACUGUGCACAUCUUGACGGUACCUAAUCAGAAAGCCACGGCUAACUACGUG
rnacentral:rRNA from 1 species